AGCGAACGCUGGCGGCAGGCCUAACACAUGCAAGUCGAACGGAUCCUUCGGGAUUAGUGGCGGACGGGUGAGUAACACGUGGGAACGUGCCCUUUGGUUCGGAACAACUCAGGGAAACUUGAGCUAAUACCGGAUGUGCCCUUCGGGGGAAAGAUUUAUCGCCAUUGGAGCGGCCCGCGUCUGAUUAGCUAGUUGGUGAGGUAAAGGCUCACCAAGGCGACGAUCAGUAGCCGGUCUGAGAGGAUGAUCAGCCACAUUGGGACUGAGACACGGCCCAAACUCCUACGGGAGGCAGCAGUGGGGAAUCUUGCGCAAUGGGCGAAAGCCUGACGCAGCCAUGCCGCGUGAAUGAUGAAGGUCUUAGGAUUGUAAAAUUCUUUCACCGGGGACGAUAAUGACGGUACCCGGAGAAUAAGCCCCGGCAAACUUCGUGCCAGCAGCCGCAGUAAGAC
rnacentral:rRNA from 1 species